rnacentral:rRNA from 1 species
UACGGGGGGGGCAAGCGUUGUUCGGAAUUACUGGGCGUAAAGGGUUCGUAGGUGGCCAACUAAGUCAGACGUGAAAUCCCUCAGCUUAACUGGGGAACUGCGUCUGAGACUGGAUGGCUUGAGUGCAGGAGAGGAACGCGGAAUUCCAGGUGUAGCGGUGGAAUGCGUAGAUAUCGGGAGGAACACCAGUGGCGAAGGCGGUUGCCUGGAGCUUUGCUGACGCUGAGGCGCGAAAGCGUGGGGAGCGAUCCGG